CAUGCAAGUCGAACGAGAAGCAGAUUUCGGUCUGUGGAAAGUGGCGGACGGGUGAGUAAUGCAUGGAUAUCUACCUUUUACUGGGGGAUAACGUCUGGAAACAGACGCUAAUACCGCAUAUUCCAUAUUGGGAAAGCUCCGGCGGUAAAAGAUGAGUCCAUGUCUGAUUAGCUAGUUGGUAGGGUAAAGGCCUACCAAGGCGACGAUCAGUAGCUGGUCUGAGAGGAUGACCAGCCACACUGGAACUGAGACACGGUCCAGACUCCUACGGGAGGCAGCAGUGGGGAAUAUUGGACAAUGGGCGCAAGCCUGAUCCAGCCAUGCCGCGUGAGUGAUGACGGCCUUCGGGUUGUAAAGCUCUUUCGCUAGGGAAGAAUUAAUGACGGUACCUAGAUAAGAAGUCCCGGCUAACUCCGUGCCAGCAGCCGCGGUGAUACGGAGGGGGCGAACGUUGUUCGGAUUUACUGGGCGUAAAGGGAUCGUAGGCGGUUAUUCAAGUCAGGUGUGAAAUCCCAGGGCUCAACCUUGGAACUGCAUUUGAAACUGGAUGACUAGAAUCAUGGAGAGGAUGGCGGAAUUGCCAGUGUAGAGGUGGAAUUCGUAGAUACUGGCAGGAACACCAGAAGAGAAGUCGGCUAUCUGGCCAUUGAUUGACGCUGAGGGUCGAAAGCGUGGGGAGCCAACAGGAUUAGAUACCCUGGUAGUCCACGCUGUAAACGAUGCAUGCUAGGUGUUGGCCUUAUGGGGUCGGUACUGUAGUUAACGCGCUAAGCAUGCCACCUGGGGAGUACGUCGGCAACGAUGAAACUCAAAGGAAUUGACGGGGGCCCGCACAAGCGGUGGAGCAUGUGGCUUAAUUCGAUGCAACGCGAAGAACCUUACCCGGGCUAAAUUCAUGGUGGCCGAUCCAGAGAUGGGUCUUUCCGUUUACGGACGCUAUGGAAGGUGCUGCAUGGCUGUCGGCAGCCCGUGCCGUGAGGUGUUGGGUUAAGUCCCGCAACGAGCGCAACCCCUAUGGUCAGUUACCAGCACGUUAAGGUGGGGACUCUGGCCAGACUGCCCGCGCAAGCGGUGAGGAAGGUGGGGACGACGUCAAGUCAUCAUGGCCCUUACGUCCGGGGCUGCACACGUGCUACAAUGGGACUGACAACGGGGAGCGACCCAGCGAUGGGCAGCGAAUCCUGAAAGGGUCUCCCAGUUCGGACUGCAGGCUGCAACUCGCCUGCAUGAAGGUGGAAUCGCUAGUAAUCGCGGAUCAGCUACGCCGCGGUGAAUACGUUCCCGGGCCUUGUACACACCGCCCGUCAAGCGAUGGAAGUCAGGAGUACCUGACCUGGCUGGGCUAACUUUCGAGGAGCAGGUCAGUAGGGUAAGUCUGAUAACUGGCGCUAAGUCGUAACAAGGUAACC
rnacentral:rRNA from 1 species